rnacentral:rRNA from 1 species
AGAGUUUGAUCCUGGCUCAGGAUAAACGCUGGCGGCGUGCCUAACACAUGCAAGUCGAACGCUCAUGCGCAAGCAUGGGAGUGGCGGACGGGUGAGGAACACGUGGGUUAUCUACCUUGAGGUGAGGAAUACCGGCGAGAAAUCGCCGACAAUACCGCAUAGGUUUCGCAAGAAACAAAGCAUCGGUGACGAUGCGCCUC